rnacentral:rRNA from 1 species
GAUGAACGCUGGCGGCGUGCCUAAUACAUGCAAGUCGAGCGAACGGACGAGAAUCUUGCUUCUCUGAUGUUAGCGGCGGACGGGUGAGUCACACGUGGAUACCCUACCUAUAAGACUGGGAUAACUUCGGGAAACCGGAUCUAAUACCGGAUGAUAUUUUGAACCGCAUGGUUCAUAAGUGAAAGACGGUCUUUCUGUCACUUCUCGAUGGAUCCGGGCUUCAUUAGCUAGUUGGUAAGGUAACGGCUUACGAAGGCAACGAUGCAUAGCCGACCUGAGAGGGUGAUAGGCGACACUGGAAGGGAGACACGGUCAAGACUACUAAGGGAGGCAGCAGAAGGGAAUGUUCCGCAAUGGGGGAAAGCAUGACGGAGCAACGCGGAGUGAGAGAUGAAGGCCUUCGGAGCGUAAAGACCUGCUAUGAGGGAAGAACAGAUGUGGAAGUAAAUGAGGAGAGCGUGACGGUAACUAAUCAGAAAGCAACGGCUAACUACGUG